CAAACUUCUUGGUGUCGGAAGCCUUUGUUCUUGCAGCUGCCCACGUGAGUCAGGUCGUGGUGUCUCUGUAAACCUCCAACAAGACAAAUUGGCCAAAAGUUUUUGCCUUCCACUGUCUCUCAGCCUCCCAAGUCCUCAAGUCUAACCCACUGCUACAAACAAAGCAUGUGAUUACCAGUUGUCCCAUCAGCAACAGAGCCUGCACCUUCUCCAUGGAAAAGAAAGGGUCUGCUUCCACUGACACAUGAGAGAUGGUGAGUUUGAUUCGGGUGAGCACGUCUUUCUGGCUUACAACACUGGUGCCCACAAUACUGGGAUUCUAGUCUUUCUUAGCUGAGGAGCAGAGUUCUGAGCAGUAAUGCAACCAGCAUGUCCCCUUCCUGCCCAAGCAACCAGCUCUGUCUCAUCUGCUUGAAUUUUUAAAAGUUACCUGACAGCAAAUGGCGUUUUCAAAGUUGAAAGAGAAGAAUCAGUCGGCUUCUUACAUCAGUUUCAAAACAAUAAGAAAAAGCUAUAAAAGAGUAAAGAUUUACUGAAAUAGGUGUGAAAUCUAAUCAAAGGGACAGAGGAUCUGGUCUUGACAUCUUACAAGGAUGACGGGGAAUCCGUGUGCUUUGGAUCCCACGUGAAAGGUGAAGACGUAGAUCUUGUCAACAUCCAAAUGUGUGUAGAAUGAAAAGAUAAAACUGGUUCCCGCCUACGUAGUGUGACCGUGAUCAACUUAAAGUUAAAAACCAGACACUCGGAUUAUUAUUUUGCCUCAAUAGCAUCCCACAUUUACUUGGCUGACUUACACAAUUUACGCCAUUAAAUGAUCUUUCAAUGUCAUAUUAAUGUGACCUUAAUCAUUGAUAUAAUAUUACAUUUAAUUUAGUUUUUUUUUCCCCCAACUGACAUCAGACAAUAGCCCAUGGCAUUUGGUUUCUAAAAACACGCUGCAAGCCUUCAUUCCACAAAGGUUCCCACACUUCUCAAGCCCUGAUGAGGAAAGUCUCUAAACAAACCUGUGCCAUUCAUUCUGAAAUUCCGGCCAUAUAAGGUAAGAGGUAUAAAAUUACUUUGGUGAUCAGCACGAUCUCAACCCCUCCCUUCAUUCUCGCCCAAAUGAGGUGCCAGGAUUGUGGCGGUGACUCG